UACAUAAACGUAACGUUAAUGCACUGAAAUGCGUUUGUAACCUCUAGAGGGCAAAAAAACAAAAACUUCUAACGUUAGAGGGCUCAAGGUGCAGGGACUAACGUUAUCUGUUUAACUUUAGCCAUGAUUUGGUGUUUGCUACCAGUACCUCCGAGAGAAAAGACAAAGUUUUGUUGAAGGUUGAAGGACAACUACCAGACAACAAAAGCAGCGAGACAGAUAUGAACCAGCCAAACGUGUCACAACUUGUUCAAAGUCCUUGAAGAAAAAAAACAGCUCUCUCAUACCGGUUCUCCAUCUUCUGGGACUGCCAUCCAGACAUUAAUGGCCCAUUUAAGCAGCUCCAGCACAGUGAUACUGGAUUGACUGGAGAAAUCAGGCAGCCUCUGGACAUUGCCGUGUCAGCAACAGCAAG